UACGAAGGGUGCAAACGUUGCUCGGAAUUAUUGGGCGUAAAGCGCACGUAGGCGGCAUUGCAAGUCGGAUGUGAAAUCCCUCGGCUUAACCAAGGAAGUGCAUCCGAAACUGCAGUGCUUGAGUACUUAAGAGGAUCGCGGAAUUCCCGGUGUAGAGGUGAAAUUCGUAGAUAUCGGGAGGAACACCAGUGGCGAAGGCGGCGUCUGGGAAGAUACUGACGCUGAGGUGCGAAAGCGUGGGGAGCAAAUAGG
rnacentral:rRNA from 1 species